rnacentral:miRNA from 1 species
UGAUGAUGAUGAUGAUGAUGAUAAUGAUGAUGAUGAUAAUUGUAUAUGGUGAUUCAUAUCAUCAUCAUCCUUCCCUUUACAUCCUAC